rnacentral:lncRNA from 1 species
CCAAAGACAGCACUCCUUCUUCUCCUUGCUUCAAGAGUUCUAGCCCUUAAAACUCGACUAACCUCAUACCAGUCAGGUUUCUUCAAGAACCUGACUCCACCCUCUCAGAAUCUCCUCUGGACUUCUGAUUCUCCUUCUUUAAAACCCUCACAACCCUUGUUAGGACCACAUAAGGCUUUGUCUUAAAUCCCAAGCCUUAUCCUAAAACUAUGAUAGGUUGUAAG